GUCCUGCUGUUGUUGAAGUCAGCAAGAGUCUGUGCACUGAUUUCAGGCAUAAUUGACCGUCGCUCAGCAAUUCUCACCUAAAAGGCUUAACGAACUGUAUGCAGAGCACUGUGAUAGUCUUGUUGCUGCAAAGUGUUGUCUAAGGUUGAGAACAUCUCUGACUCCACUCUCUUCAGCAUCCCAGAGCCACAAUCUAAAUGCUCUUAGCCAAAGCAGUCACUUCAAAAUUAGUAAUUUCAAAAUAAUUUCCUAGUGUAGACGUGCCCUGCAAGUGUCUAGCUCAGCUGGAAUGUCAUUUACUGCACUGCAGAGUUGGUGGGAACGAGCCUUUAAAAGGUGGCCAGGUGUUUGCUUCCUCUGUUUUGCCCCCUCCCAUUCUCAUUACGCCUGUCACAGAGGAAACCUCCCAGGGGAGAAGAAGAGAUGAGGCUUCAGCGUGUGAGAUAUAAAACCCUCUCCCAAAAAUGUGUGACCAAUCGCAAGGAUGAGGUCAUAUUGAUAGCUUAUCCCGCAUGCUAGUGAAAUGAUAUCCGUGCACGGAAAAGGCAUGAAUAUUGCACCCGCUGGCCAAAGCCACAUUCUCAGCCAUCCAAGCCUAUGCUUUUCCUUUGUGCUCCCUAAGAUCUGUAACAUACCCACUCCCAUAAUGAACAAGCCUGGAUUUCCUCUUGCUAACACCUGUGCAAAUCAGAAGUAAUUCCUUGGAAAUCCAUGGGAGAGGAGAACACCGUCCAAUGAGUGGGAGUGUGGACCAAGGAGAUGUGACAUCAAGUGGUAUUACUGCUGCUUAAAGUGGCUACAGAAAUGAAAACAGAAAGGGCUGCCCAGAGACUAGUCUGUGCUUUGGUAUGUGCUAUAAACACCCUUGCUGAGCUCACAGACAGGGUCUGCCAGAGGAGACCACCACACCCACAAGUCAAAAUAACAAUCAAGGAAAAACAGGCCCCAGAAAACUCUAGUCCAUUUCUGUAGCUUUUUCACUUGUCUUUGUUUAAUUGCUCAGACUGAAGUGGUUUGGGAAAGGAAUUUUCUCCCAGCAGCCUCUAGGACUCCAUACCUUCACCUGAAGGGAUACACGAUAAGCUGGCCCAAGGGACAAAGAAGAUGUUGCAAGGUGGAACCAUUAAUAAUGAGCCUUUUUGUUUCGCUAAUGUUUGCCCAAAGGAAUUAACCUUACCUCAUAGAAUAGAAUCAUAGAAUUCUAGAACUGGAAGGGACCGUGAGAGGCCUUCAAGUCCAGUCCCCUGCGCUCACGGACCAAACAUCAGCUAGGCCAUGCUUGACAGCCAAAGACCAAACACUCUUUGAGGCUCUCCUUCUGGUUGAUCAGGAGAAAGAAUGCUGUGCCUUUGAUGUCUCUUUGGUAAACACAAUUGCCAGUUGAGGAAAUGGCAGCAGGAGGAAGUUUGAACUUGAACUUGCACGCAAGGUUCCUGCCAGCAACUAACAGAGAUGGCCAACACACAGCCUCAGCUGGGUCCGCUGUCAGCUUGAUACCAGUUCAGCGGAGUGUGUUCCAUCCCACACUUGGGUUUGCCGAUUGGGUUUGAUUUGGAGAAAGGCCCAAAAUGUGGGAGCUUCUCCAGACCUUAUCAAAACCCUCUGUAGUUAGUGGAUCUGUACCAGGCUCCAAAGGAGAUGGAAAGUGGCCAGAAAGUCCACAUGCCAGCCAGCGAGGAAGUGGCACUACCUAUCCAAGAAGAGGCACUGCAGCCAGACCAUGGAGAGGAAGAGGAGCUCCCCCUCCUACCUUACUUUAAACUCUGGCCUGACCUGUAUAAGGGGACUGGAAAUCUCAUGUCAGUGGGCUCUCUUGGGAGACUUUUGGUCCUUUUUGUCUCAGCAAUACAUCAAUAAAGGGUUUCAGCAAAAAGCUGAUGAUUCUACUGGCCUCUGGGCGCUUCUUUAAUGCAGGGAAAUAAUCAUCAUCCAAGUAGGAGGAAUG